CUUAUCCUUCAUGAAUGAGUUGGUUGGGAUGCUUGGAUGGUUUAGUUGUUCAAAUAUGGCUCACAUGAUAUUAAUUGGUUUUGUGCUGUUCCUGUCCUGGAACAUGUAUUUAUUUCCAGUGGAUCUGUUGCAAGUUUGUCUUGAAUUAAUAUUCCACUGCCACCAGGUCAAUAACCUGCAUUCUUAAUGUGUUCUUCUCCAGGGAAAUGGUGACCAGUCAGCAAGUCUAGUAAAAAAUCAACAUGCCUAUGGCGUAUCCUCUAAACAUGAUGGAAGAGAAAAGGAGCUUGCAGAUAUGCUGGAAGAGAAAAAUAGGCCCCUGGGGGCAAUUCAAGCUAAUCAUGAAUUACAGAUAAAGCAAUUGAAUAUGGAACCUGAAAAGGAAUGUGAUAAACUUGGGAAUCUGCAGAUGAGCUUGCAAGAGGAGCACAAGCUGAAUGAGUCUCUUCAGGAGGAGCUUGGAGUUACUGAAAUCAGAGAAGGAUAAAAAAGCAAUGAAGGUAAAAGCUGGAUAUGUUGCAUGAAUCUCCAUUAGAACAACC